rnacentral:rRNA from 1 species
AUUGAACGCUGGCGGCAGGCCUAACACAUGCAAGUCGAGCGGAUCGGCAGCCGGGUGAGUAAUACCUAGGAAUCUGCCUGGUAGUGGGGGAUAACGUUCGGUACCGGACGCUAAUACCACAUCCUAUCAGAUGAGCCUAGGUCGGAUUAGCUAGUUGGUGUGGUAAGGGCACACCAAGGCCACGAUCCGUAACUGGUCUGAGAGGAUGAUCAGUCACACUGGAACUGAGACACGGUCCAGACUCCUACGGGAGGCAGCAGUGGGGAAUAUUGGACAAUGGGCGAAAGCCUGAUCCAGCCAUGCCGCGUGUGUGAAGAAGGUCUUCGGAUUGUAAAGCACUUUAAGUGGGGAGGCGUUACCGACAGAAUAAGCACCGGCUAACUCUGUGCCAGCAGCCGCGGUAAUUC